UACGGAAGGUGCAAGCGUUGUUCGGAAUGACUGGGCGUAAAGCGCACGUAGGCGGUUUCGUAAGUCGGAUGUGAAAGCCCCGGGCUCAACCUGGGAAUAGCACCCGAAACUGUGAAACUUGAAUGCUUGAGAGGUUGGUGGAAUUCCAGGUGUAGGAGUGAAAUCCGUAGAUAUCUGGAGGAACACCGGAGGCGAAGGCGGCCAACUGGCGAUGCAUUGACGCUGAGGUGCGAAAGCGUGGGGAGCAAACAGG
rnacentral:rRNA from 1 species